AAGUGACUUUUUCCGAAUUUUCAAAGUGCUCUCAUUCAGUUAGUUCUGCUCGAAUCCCGUUAUAACCCAGUGUUUUCGUAAUCUAGGGGGCCUAAAGAAGAUGCUGGUAUAGUUAGUUUGAUUUCGAAAAAAAUGAAUUUUUGGUGAAAAAAUUCGAUACGGGGGGGUAUACCCGAAAAAUGAAAAGUCCCAAACUUUGGAGGUCGAUAUCUCGGCUUCUAUAGCCACUAUCGCGAAAAUUCCAACGGUUUUCUCUUAGUUUCGUCAUUCUGAAUCCAACGAGACCAUUUGCAAGGUCGUAGCUCUUAUAUUAGCUGAGAUAUCGCAUUUUUGGAGCCCAUUUUUGGCCUCAAAAACAAGGUCGAAAAGUGACUUUUUCCGAAUUUUCAAAGUGCUCUCAUUCAGUUAGUUCUGCUCGAAUCCCGUUAUAACCCAGUGUUUUCGUAAUGAGGGUGAUGAGAGGAAGCCGCUGGUAUGGUUAGUUCGAUUUCGAAAAAAAUGAAUUUUUGGUGAAAAAAUUCGAUACGGGGGGGUAUACCCGAAAAAUGAAAAAUCCCAAACUUUGGAGGUCGAUAUCUCGGCUUCUAUAGCCACUAUCGGGAAAAUUCCAACGGUUUUGUCUUAGUUUGGUCAUUCUGAAUCCAACGAGACCAUUUGCAAGGUCGUAGCUCUUAUAUUACCUGAGAUAUCGCAUUUUUGGAGCCCAUUUUUGGCCUCAAAAACGAGGUCGAAAAGUGACUUUUUCCGAGUUUUCAAAGUGCUCUCAUUCAGUUAGUUCUGCUCGAAUCUCGUUAUAACCCGGUGUUUUCGUAAUGAGGGUGAUGAGAGGAAGCCACUGGUAUGGUUAGUUCGAUUUCGAAAAAAAUGAAUUUUUGGUGAAAAAAUUCGAUACGGGGGGGUAUACCCGAAAAAUGAAAAAUCCCAAACUUUGGAGGUCGAUAUCUCGGCUUCUAUAGCCACUAUCGGGAAAAUUCCAACGGUUUUGUCUUAGUUUGGUCAUUCUGAAUCCAACGAGACCUUUUGCAAGGUCGUAGCUCUUAUAUUAGCUGAGAUUUCGCAU